rnacentral:lncRNA from 1 species
ACUCACUGACGGACUCCACUGUCUCCAGCCGCCCGCGCGCGGCAGCCCCGGAGCAGGCGGCCUCCGACGCGGCCGAAAGGUACCAGACGGGUGAGCGCAGACAUACUAGCAAGACUGCAGUUCCCACCCCUGAUGCGUCACUUCCCCGAGUCCCGGCCCGUGACGUCACUGCGUCGCACUGCGUCUCUACCCGGGCUGAUGGUAGGCCACAGGGGACAAGUUCAAGCCAUUGGCGGACCUUAGAGGCUCCAGGUUAACGGGCAGAUAGGUCGUCCUUCAGGAGGAGCCCUGGCUGCCUCGUGGCACAGCCUGGCAAGGUGCUCUUGGCUGACCUUACUGCUGCUCCCUGCUUUGGCUCAUAUAGACGGUGCUUUCAUGCAUGUUCUUGCCACUGUGGGCCCUUGUUAAAGGCCUAAGCCCUUUCUGAACCACGCAAUGUUUAUUUUAUAACAUCGCAAUGUUUAUUUUAUAGCAUCGUUGUUUCAGCAUUGUUCUGAAUGACUAAUCAGCCAGGGUGUUAAAUUUCAGAACCUGGACUGGUGGCACGGGAAUCACCUGAGGAACCCAACCCGGCACACUCGGAAUAAGUCGGCCAGGAACAUGGGGGAAAGUUCCUAACGCCUCGAGCCUUAGCCAAUUCGAGGUUUUUUGGCAUUUCCUCUUGUUAUUAAUGUAAUAAGCAAGCAGAAAAAUAAGGACAUGAGGGCAGUCCAGUUAAGAUGCAACACCAAGAUGGCAACAAAUCGAGACCUGACUUCAGCCGUAGAAAUGUACUCGCAGUGGGAGCUGUAACACAAAUAGAUGCACGUAGACGCGCAGAUGCGCUCAGUCUCCGGCCAUUAGUGGGGAGGGAAUAUGAAUUUUCAAGCUCAUCCUCAUAAAACAAGACAUACAUAUCUGUUCCGAGUUACUAGGUCUAUAGGAUAGCCUACUGUCAUCUUUCCAGAAAAACUAAUUUUUUCACUCACUUCAGAUUUCCUUCAAGAAACAAAGGCUCCACUGGCUAUUAAAAUAGUCCGCCUUCCUCGGCCUGCUUUUUUCUCUCAGUAUUGCCUCUGUUGAAAUCUGGAUAGACUCCAAACCUAAGACUACUCCUAACCCCAAGAGGUUGUGAGAAACGGACUUUUUUCUAUAAACAGUAGCUAGCACACCAACAGUCAAUACUCUAAUAAUCUCCACCUUGUAAAAUUAUUCAAGUAUUUUAAUCAUCUGGAAAACCUGUUUACACAAAGGCCUUCCAUUCUGACGACAAGAGCUAUGGACCCCUUCCUUCCCUCCUUCCUUUGCAUCUAUUAGGAACUAUCCAACCAUGGCAGAGUCUGAGGUCGCACUCUACCAAUAGGAUGAGACACAGUCAUCACCUGUAUUAGAAUAACAACUGAACUUCCCGCCCUAGUGUGCUUGCAAGGCCACUGUAAGUUAUGGCACAUUUUACC